rnacentral:rRNA from 1 species
GCUACCUGCAGUCGAGCGAGGUCCAUUCGGUGGUAACACUGAUGAAGACCUAGCGGCGAACGGGUGAGUAACACGUGAGCAACCUGCCCCGAAGUUCGGGAUAACCCGGGGAAACCCGAGCUAAUACCGGAUACCUUCCUUUGGUCGCAUGGCUAUUGGAAGAAAGAUUUAUCGCUUCGGGAGGGGCUCGCGGCCUAUCAGCUAGUUGGUGAGGUAACGGCUCACCAAGGCAUCGACGGGUAGCUGGUCUGAGAGGACGAUCAGCCACACUGGGACUGAGACACGGCCCAGACUCCUACGGGAGGCAGCAGUGGGGAAUCUUGCGCAAUGGGCGAAAGCCUGACGCAGCAACGCCGCGUGCGAGAGGAAGGCCUUAGGGUUGUAAAUCGCUUUCGGCAGGGACGAAAUUGACGGUACCUGCAGAAGAAGCCCCGGCCAACUACGUGCCAGCAGCCGCGGUAACACGUAGGGGGCGAGCGUUGUCCGGAUUCAUUGGGCGUAAAGAGCUCGUAGGCGGCUCAGUAAGUCUGCUGUUAAAGCUCCAGGCUCAACCUGGAGAGGCCAGUGGAUACUGCUGUGGCUAGAGUCCGGUAGGGGAGCGUGGAAUUCCCAGUGUAGCGGUGGAAUGCGCAGAUAUUGGGAGGAACACCAGCGGCGAAGGCGGCGCUCUGGACCGGAACUGACGCUGAGGAGCGAAAGCGUGGGUAGCAAACAGGAUUAGAUAC